rnacentral:lncRNA from 10 species
UUUUAAAGAAACAAAUUUAAUUGAUUUCCAAGGCUUGAGUGUGAUUAAAAAAAAAAAAUUAAAAGGUAAACUUCACCGUGCAGGAAGAAGCAUAGGAAAAGAGAGAGAGAAAAGAACAAAGAAAAAAAAGAAUAGCAAGUCUCUCCAAGUACUAUGGAAACAAACAGAAAGUGGAAUUAGGAAAAAAGAGAGGAAGAAGGUCUGAGUAGUCCAAGGGACACGGGAGGCCAGUUGGGAAGACCGCCCGGGCGAGACCAGGAAGAUCAAGGCCACAGUGAAUCACGAUCCCAUCCCUCUGCUCAACCUGAAUUGUACUGCUGCUGGCGAGAGAGAUCUGGUCGACCUUAGACAUGGCAAGGCGAGAGGUGAGGUCCAUCAGGUCGACCUUAGUCCAACGCUCACAGCCGACAUCUCUCUCAAAAUAAAUAAACAAAUC